AAGGAGUCCAACACAUAUGCGAGUGUUUGGGUGGCAAACCCGAGCGCGAAAUGAAAGUGAAUGUAGGUGGGAUCCUCCGGCUGCACCAUCGACCGAUCUGGAUUCUUUUGAAAGCUUUGAGUGAGAGCGAAUUUGUUGGGACCCCAAAGAUGGUGAACUAUGCCUGAAUAGGGUGAAGUCAGAGGAAACUCUGAUGGAGGCUCGUAGCGGUUCUGACGUGCAAAUCGAUCGUCAAAUUUGGGUAUAGGGGCGAAAGACUAAUCGAACCAUCUAGUAGCUGGUUCCCGC
rnacentral:misc_RNA from 1 species